rnacentral:misc_RNA from 1 species
GUGAAUCAUCGAAUCUUUGAACGCAUAUUGCGCCCUUUGGUAUUCCGAAGGGCAUGCCUGUUCGAGCGUCAUUAUCACGGUAUCAAGCCUGGCUUGUUGUUGGGCCCCUUGUCACUUGGUGACAGGUCCAAAAGAGAAUGACCGGUGUCGUACAGACUCUACAUGCAACGAGCUUAUCACAGCACGCAUCUGGCAGUCGUGUGGCCCGGUUCGCCCCCAUUCUUUCUCAAGGUUGACCUCGGAUCAGGUAGGAACACCCGCUGAACUUAAGCAUAUCAAUAAGCGGAGGA